AGAGUUUUUGCUAAAAGCAGCUAGGAAGCCCCACGGCUCCAGUGUGCGUGAACUCCUGGUAAUUUCCUUGGGGAAUCCCGCCUCAGAGAACCUCUACCCCGAGAAUUAGGAGGAAGCUGAGCUAGGCUGACUUGAGGAAAGAGAGCUGGAGGAGCGGGGUUCAACAUUUUUCAAAAUAAAAAGUUGGUAGAAUAAUAGGAAGCCAUGAGGACCAAGAAGCUCACAUUUCCAAGGCUUUCUAAGUUUCACCUUGAAGCAAGAUACAUCAUAAAGCAUUGUCUAGGUACAACUUGCACUUUCCUGUCCAAGCCUCAGACCCUGUUCUUCAUCUGGGCCCACAGAGCAACAGCUUCCACUUUUGUGGCCAAAGAAAAAUGCUAACCAGCUUGUAAUUGCUGUAAGGAGAUGGAGUUUCACUUACAUCCAGGCUGGAAUGCAGUGGCGUGAUCUUGGCUCACUGGAACCUCCACCUCCUGGGUUCAAGCAAUUCUCGUGCUUCAGCCUCCCGAGUAGCUGGGAUUAUAGGAUAAUGCAACGGUCUUCAGAACCCAUGUGAAAAUUCUCUCUCAAAUGAGCACAUUGAGAGGCAAGGAAAAUGGUGUUGAAAGCAGUGGAAACCUGCAGAGAGGAGAGGAAAGGAUGGCGAGCACAAUAAGAGCAUAAACCAAUAGGAAGAGAGAAGGGAAGAGAAUGAAGAGGAGAAAGGGAAAGGGGAGCUCAGAAAGGGAGAGAAGCAUAUGGCAGGUAUCAAUUAUUUACCAUUUAUGUACAAUAAAAAAAUGCACUUUAACUACAGGAAGAGCACCAAAUCCACUCAAUAACCAUUUAAAAGCAUAUGGAAAUAAAACACAGCCAUUUAAAGGGUUGUAAUAAAUGUGCAAUGCUCUUCGUAAUGCCCCUGAAAGAAUACAAGUGUUAAGCCUUGGUAAAUUACACUUAAAAGUAAGUGUAACAUAAAAACGAAAUUAGACAUACAAAUAACCUCACACUUAGGCAUUUUUUAAAGUCUCUUUCAAACAGUUAAUUAGAAAAGACUCUAAGGAGCAUAACUUUUCUUUUUCCCAUAUUCUCUUCUUUUAACAAUAGAGCCAAGCAAAUGGCAGGAGCAAAUAAACACAGAUCUGGGACAUAGGAAAGGUCUGCAUCAUGUUGUCUGCUCUGAAAAAGGGAAAAGGGGGAAGAAAAUAAAUAGAUGGCACUGUUGGAACUGUUCCCUUCACUUAUUAGAGAACUGAAUGAAACCCUUUAAACAAAGGUCACAAAAAAUAUGUAGUUGGCAUCAUAGGCUCUGUUUCCCAAUUACACAUUUUAAUAGAUUCAAUGUUCUCUUCAAAAUGCACUAGCCAAUCAGAAAGUACUCUCCACCUCAUGUGCCCAUUCUUCAUUAACAUCUGCUGUGGAAUACAGUCAUGGUUCCAGUAAACCAGGCCCAGCAUGGUUCAGCCUUCAAGGGGAGAGAAUUGAAAGGAGUUUUGCUCUGAGGGGGCUGUGGCCAUGAGAUCCCAGAUUAAAGCAGGGGGCUGUGAGCAGCUGUGUUCCAGCCUGCAAAUUCCACAUAACAGCUCUAAUCACAAACCAGAGUUCUCUCAUCAAUGAGGAGCAUAUUGUCUUUGCCACCCCAUCCAGUCGGUCCUCAAAUCUCUUCUGUAUUUGGAGCCUAGUACAUGAUACAUAUAUAAUUUUAUGAAUGUUGCAGCUUGGGUUUUCAGGAAGCUGAUUCUGAGACAGAGAUUAGUGUGCAGAACAUUUUUAGGGAGUGCUGUUAGGAUUUAACUCUUAGGAAAAGAAAGGGGAGAAGAGGGGACGGGAGAGGAAAGGAGGGGAGGGAAGGGAAGGGAAGGGGUAGGAAAGGAAGGGAGUAAGACUAGGCAGAGGGAGAAAGCUGGGCUACAAUGAAGUUUCAGUGGACAUCUCGCUGGCCCACUGGGGAAUUCUGAAGAUGGACUGACCUCUCAAUGCUAUUCCAGUUGGGGAGAGAGCCAGGCCUCUCUACCCCUUCAUCAGCCAGUCAUUGGAUGUAGCUGCCCAGGAAGGGGCUGUGACCUCUUCAAGGCUGCUCUCCUCAUCUGAGACAUCCCUGAAAGGAACUGAAUGCCGUGAGCCAUCUGCUUGCAGACCAGUGGCUGGGAAGUCAGACCUAAGUCCUGAAAGACGAUUAAGCAGCACAUCUCCACGUCCACCACGGAGAACAAGGAGAAAAGUCCCACUCAGGUUCCUGUGUGCAUUCAGGAAACAUGUGUUGUAUCAUUUUAAUGGGCAUGGCACGGAUCUGUGAUUAUGGUUUACUUUAAUGUUUUCCAGCAAGUCUUCAAGCACAGAACACAAAGAGUUUUGGGCCCAUUGCCUCACCCAAGUUCUCUGUGAGGCAGUACUGCCUCAAGGACUCGCCUGCCCAUUUUACACGUUAGAAAACUGAUAACAGCAAAAAGCAAUUGACCAGAGUCUUUGACAGGCAAGCCCUUCAGUAUUUAAAAUAAAAAGGCAUCUUGAGGAGAUGAUAGUAAACCUUGCCUAGAAAAACAGUCGAUGCAUUGACAUAGGGUUAUAGGUGGACGUGAAAAAGGGGGAUGUAGCUAAUGAGAAAUACCCUAGAGCUCUAAAUUCUUUCUUCCUCCCUGGCUUCUAUCUUUGCAGAUGCUGAAGGGAAUGAUAUAGUCGAUAAAUUAUACUCUGACCCCAUUUUCUAAAUUUCAUUAAAAACAUUUUUUUUUCUGUAUCUGAAAAUGCCUCUCUCAACUCUUAAAAAGACACUCCUGGGUCUGUGUUAUUACCCAAUAAGUAACGUGCUACUGUGUGCACUGACUGUAAUCAAGCCCAUGCCGCCAGCCUAACAAUGCACCUAAGUGUGCCACAGACCUCCAGUGCUCACCCUGUUGUGUCAUUUCACUUAAUUAAUAAGCAGAACAAAGAUUUCAGAAAAGGGAGAAAUUCGAUUACGCAGCACUGUAAUGGCACUCAAGUCUGCUGUAAAUACUGAGUGGGGUCUACCCCCUUAAAAUCUCCAUUUGCUCCACCGUUGUACAGUAGAAAUGUCAGCGCGACUCCCCGCACGUCCCCUUUUAGUUGACCUUUAGCUGCAUCUCUCAGUAAUACUAAACCAUUAGUCAUGCCUGGGUCAGUGAUGUGUCAAUAACAGAAUAAUUAUUGAAGAUAGCCUUAAGAGGAAGGACAUCAGCCUCAAAUCAGCAUUAGCUCAACUCAAACCGCCACCAGGGCUUGUUGAAUAAAUGAAUGCAUGUCUAAUAAAAGGCCUCUUUACAUCUGGAGACCUAAAGACUGUUGAUUCCAUUAAUCCAAAGGGUUAUUUGUAGCUGCUAAACACGUUUUUAGACCAAUAAGUGACAGGCUUUUACUCCUGCUGACUGCAACCCACCCUUCUCAAGUAGAACAAAUUCACUGUACUUAAUGGCUCUGGCAUUUUAAAAGGAAGUUGGUCAGCAGGGCUGUUUGGAACAUCUGCACCUUUGCAGAACACUAAAUGCAGGGGAGAAACUCUUCCCACUCACAGGAGAUGCAAUCUUGAGAUUCUGAAAUCAGGGUGCCUCCAAACUCUGCGCUAGACCUCUGGUGGAAACCAAACAGCGAGGUGCUAAUAAAAGAAAUAAGGGACACUCAGAGAGGCAGCGCAGCUCAACAAUUAACAUCAGAAACGCAGGAAAUAGAUAUGCACACAGGGAGAGCACCAUGUGAAGAUGGCAAUUGUGCUGCCAGAAGCCAAGGAACUCCCAGAAGCUGGGAGAGAGGCCUGGAACACAUCCUUCCCCAGCACCUUAGAGGGAGCAUGGCCCUGCUAAUACCUUGAUCUUGGACUUUUAGCCUCCAGACUGGUGAAACAAUAACUGUUUAUUGUUUAAGCCACUCAGUUUGUGCCAUACAGUACUUCAUUACGCCAGCCCUGGCAAACUAAUGCACUGGAGUAAUAACUUGCAGCUAGCAGGCCUUGUGUGGAAUUCUAUCCUCAUCAUUCACUUGUUGUGUCAUAUUGGGCAAGUUACUUAGAAUCCUUGACCCUCUCCUAUAAAACCAGGACAAUAAUACAUGGUUUAUCUGUCUCACAAAUUUAUUAUUGGGAUCAAAACUUUACAUACACAAAAGCAUUUUCCAAACUCUAACAGAGCCCAGGGAAGGAGAGAGAGCUCAAGCUAGGAAAUGUAAUAUAGAUGCUCAAUAGCAGUCUUUAUAUACUGUGACAGUCUUCAUUAAAAGCAAUAUAUAAUAUUUCUGUAAUGCUUGUUGAUUUUUUUUAAUGAGAAGGUGUUUCUUCUAUGUUCAUUGUAACCAGAAUAAAUCCCGUGGUUCCUCAGACCCAGUUGUUGCAUAGAGCUCCAUUAAAGAAAAGAAAAGUUCAAUAAACAGGUGACUUUAAAGGGCAGUCAUCUGUAGCCUUGAUAUGACGUAACAAAAAAUAGCACUUUACCUCUGUGGUCUUCCUCCUCAAAACCUAGAACCCUAGUUUACUCAUAAGAAAAACAUCAGGCAAAUUCCAAUAAAGGAACAUCCUACAAAAUACCUGACCCGUACUCCUCAAAACUAUUAAGAACAUCAAAGGAAAGCUUAAAAAACCACCACAGCCAAAAGGAGUCUAAACACAUAUUACAACUAAAUGUUAUGGGGUAUCCUGGAUGGGAUCUGAUAUCGUUUGAAUGUUUGUCCCCUCCAAAUCUCAUGUUAAAAUGUGAUCCCUAGUGUUGGAGGUGGGGCCUAUAGGUGAUGUUUGGGUCAUGGGGGUGGAUCCCUCCUGAAUGGCUUGGUGCCCUCCCUGUGGUAAUGAGUUAUGACAAGAUCUGAUUGUUAAAAGAGUUUGGAACCUUCUUCCCUCUCUCUUGCCCCCUCUCUCGCCCUGUGACACACUGGCUCCUCCUUUUGCCUUCCCCCAUGAGUGAAAGCUCCCCAAGGCCUCACCAGAAGCCAGGCAGAUGCUGGUGCCAUCCUUGUACAGCCUGAAGGACUGUCGGUCAAAUAAACCUCUUUUCUUUAUAAAUUGCCCAGUCUUAGGUAUUUCUUUAUAGCAAUGCAAAACAGGCUAACACAGGAGCCUAGAGCAGGAAAAAGACUUUAUGUAAAAAAUAAAAAAAUCUGAAUAAACUAUGGGAUUUUAUUAAUAAAAAUGUAAGCAUUGGUUUAUUAAUUAUAGCAAAUGUAUCAUACUAAUGUAAGAUGUUAAUAAUAGGGGAAACCAACCACAGGGAUAUGGAAACUCUCUACCAUCUUCUCAAUUAUUUUGUAAAUCUAAAACUGUUCUAAAAAAUAAAGUUCAUUUUAAAAAAA
rnacentral:lncRNA from 1 species